GCCUAGGUAGCUUAGUUGGUAGUGCGUCUGCCUUGUAAGCGCUAGGCCGCGGGUUCGAUUCCCGCCCGGCGCG
rnacentral:tRNA from 1 species